rnacentral:lncRNA from 1 species
GCCCUGCUCCUGGUGAAGGCACAACUUCUGCUGCAGAACUCCCCUGCAGGGUCAGGCUACUGCUGGGACAUUGCAAGAAUCACUCAUCAGCCAAAGGAUGAAGAGUCCUUUUUAUGGUUCAAGAAGCCAAGCCAGUCUCCUCACCUGAAAAAUGGGAAGAGCAAAAUAUCCUACCCUAGAGGGUUGCUGUGAGAGCCGAAAGCGUCUAUCCACGUGAAGCACAUGGGACAGAGCCUGGCACAAAGAAAAUGCUUCCCAGCUCCAUCAGCCCACCGCCCCCUCUGGCCUUCCCUCAAGAGCAGCCACUGGGCCUUGGUUGCCAUGGAGACAGUUUCCCUCAGAGGCUUUGCCUCCCAUCUUCUUUUCUUUUCUUUUCUUUUUUCUUUUUUUUUAAUUUGAGACAAGAUCUCGCUUUGUCACCCGGCCU